ensembl:lincRNA Gm11588 predicted gene 11588
UCUACUCCUGAUCCACUGUGAUGAUGAUGGUGAUAAUCCUUGCUCAUGAGCUUGUACUAAAGACCCUUGAGUGAUUGCAUUGGAAUUAGCUCUUCGGUGGUCUUUGGGAUCCCUGUGACUUGGGCAUAGCACUCAGCAGUCAAGAGAGGUCCCUGUUUACUCCUCUGCCAAACAGACAUCGACCAUGGACCUAGCACCCCUCCCCAUUUCCCCAACACAUGCAGCAGAAGUGCAGCUUGGUCUUCUUCAUGUGGGUCCCCCAACAAUUGGAGUGCAGGCUGUCCCUGACUCUGUUGCCUGCCUGUGGAUCUUAUUCACCUAACUGGGCUGCCUUGUCUAGCCUCACUGGGAGAGGAUACACCUGCAGUGACCUGAUUUGCCAGGACCUUUAACAGAAGAGGAUCAAUAAGCUCCAAAUAUGGGUCCCACCUCAAGCAACUCAAAAAUGGCAAAGCCAGAACUGGACUCCAAUCUAUGAAGUCUCCACAGCACAAAUGAGGCUUGGCUGCCUGGAUAUUGAUUGGCACCAGAGAACAAGAGAGCAGCAGAGCAAGAAGACCAAAGUUUGAUAAACAAAGGAACUCAUUAAAAUCACAGGAGUUAUAGAAGUGAACUUCAAGCCUGAGCCUAAUUCUAUGGGACUCCAUAGCUCCUGACUAUUCUA